UUUUCUUUUUUUCUGAAAAAAGUUGUUAAGAAAGAGGAAAGAAAGGAAAUCGAUUGGGAUAGGCUGUUUUCUGCUAUUGUGUUUUUGACUGUUUUUGCAGGAAAAAAGGAUAUCCACUGUUGGAGAUGAGAUCCAUGUGAUGGCCCCAAGAUUUACCCAAAUGCCUUCAUCCGACACUACGCUGUGAUAUCAGGAGUACGCCAGAUUUGCUAUUGGAGUAGGAUGAAGGCGGUUGAGUCAAACGCGAGGAAGCUUCAAAGGAUCGAAAGCAACAACACAACACAGCAACACAUAUCAUAUGAAUCGAGAAGAAAUGCAUGGCAAUCACAAAACAAACGACAGCUACUACUCAGUACCAAGUUCAGCAAGACACCAACAACGGUUUACCGACGGUAACAAUUCAAAAUUAAUUUUUCCUUUUAUUGUUUGUUGUUCAGAUUUUGCUUUAGGAACAAUUUGAUUAUAUUGUUUAUUUGUAGCAUUGUUGGUGUAUAUCUAUUAUGCUGCUGUAGUUCCGAUUAAUUCAUGAAAGUUGUAGCGAUUAUGUUAUAUUAAGUUGCUGCAAAUUUGCUGUCACAUAUAUGUCAAUUUGUUAUCAGAAAACUAUAGAUAUUCGUCUCAAUUUGAUUGCAUUGCGUAUCCACUAUUGCGUGAAAAUUUGUUUCGGUUUUGUACUCUUUUUAAAGUUGAAUUUGUUUCAGGCUGUGUGUUGUAAUAAUUUGGUACUACCGUAAAUAAUGGUACAAUUAGUAACUACCUACUGCAAGUUUUUCUUUCCCUUAACCAUGUAAUUUAGGUUGGUUUAUAUUGAAAGCUAAUAAUUAAAGCUUAUUUCUUAUUGGGGUACACAUUGGCUUUGCAAGCAGGUUCUGACUUUUCAAUGUUUACUUGAUGAUGAUUAUGAUAAGUUGUUUUAGUUAGGUUUCAUUUAAUUUUGUAUGUUGCUUGCUUGGUUUUUAAUAAAUUAUAUAUUUUGCAAGUAGUACUCAUCAUGUGUGUAAUUUUAUACUCCAUAAGCUAGUUAUUUAAAAUGGUGAAUUUGUUAGUAGUGGUAAGUGUUUACACCGAUGAUGGUUUGGUUUUCUGUUCCCAAGUUGGUGUUUUUGUAUCAUUAUGUAUAUGUUCUGCUGAAUUUUUUUACUACGUUUGCUUUGUGUGUUGCAACGAGUUUGUGAUUUUUGUAAUCAAAUUAAAGAUAAUUUUAAUUAUAUUAAGUAUUUGAUUUAAUCAAAUAGUUUUGAUAAUUAAGUUUGGUUAUAUUAAUUAAG
rnacentral:lncRNA from 1 species